UACGUAGGGUGCGAGCGUUAAUCGGAAUUACUGGGCGUAAAGCGUGCGCAGGCGGUGAUGUAAGACAGGCGUGAAAUCCCCGGGCUUAACCUGGGAACUGCGCUUGUGACUGGAAGGCUAGAGUACGGCAGAGGGGGGGUGGAAUUCCACGUGUAGCAGUGAAAUGCGUAGAGAUGUGGAGGAACACCGAUGGCGAAGGCAGCCCCCUGGGCCGAUACUGACGCUCAUGCACGAAAGCGUGGGGAGCAAACAGG
rnacentral:rRNA from 1 species